UCUCGACUAGUAUAUCGGUUUAGUACACGCGCCUGUCAUUAUGCCUGUCAUUGGGUAAUGCACCUCCGCGCGAAAGCUGGGUUCGACUCCCAGGUCGAGAG